rnacentral:rRNA from 1 species
AGUGAACGCUGGCGGUAGGCCUAACACAUGCAAGUCGAACGGCAGCACAGUAAGAGCUUGCUCUUCCGGGUGGCGAGUGGCGGACGGGUGAGGAAUACAUCGGAAUCUACUUUUUCGUGUGGGUUAACGUAGGGAAACCUACGCUAAUAUCGCAUCUGACCUUCGGGUGAAAGCAGUGGAUCUUCGCACCUUUUGCGUAUGAAUGAGCCGCUGUUGGAGUAGCUUGUUGGCGGGGUAAAGGCCCACCAAGGCAGCGAUCCGUAGCUGGUCUGAGAGGAUGAUCAGCCGCACUGGAACGGAGACACGGUCCAGACUCCUACGGGAGGCAGCAGUGGGGAAUAUUGGACAAUGGGCGCAAGCCUGAUCCAGCCAUACCGCGUGGGUGAAGAAAGCCUUCGGGUUGUAAAGCCCGUUUGUUGGGAAAGAAAAGCAGCAGGUUAAUACCCCGCUGUUCUGACGGUAACCAAAGAAGAAGCACCGGCUAACUUCGUG